rnacentral:lncRNA from 1 species
UGUUGAUUGUGAAAUGCCAGUUGAAGCAUAUGUCCUGUGAGCUUAGGGGUGCUACAGGUUGACCACUGCAGCAGUAAAGAUGACUCUGAAGAAUGGCAUGGGAUGGAUCCUUUCGAAUGCACUUGAGCAGCGGUCUCCAACCACAGGGCCACAGAGCUGGAGCUGGAUCUACCAUGAACGACUUCUGAAUCCAGGAAGAGAGACUGACUGGGCAACAUGUUAUUCAGAGUCUCCCUCUGUUGUCCAAGGCUGGAGUGUAGUAGUGCUAUCACAGCUGACUGCAGCCUCAACCUUCCAGGCUGAAGCGAUCCUCCCAUCUCAACCUCCCACGUGGCUGAGACUAUAGGUGCUUGCCACUAUGCCCAACUAAUAUUCGGAAUUUUCCUAUACGU